rnacentral:rRNA from 1 species
GACGAACGCUGGCGGCGUGCCUAAUACAUGCAAGUCGAACGGACAGGCCAGGAGUUUGUUGCGCUCUCGUGUGGCGCGCGCGUGAGUAAAACGUGUGUAUCACGCACCUAUCUGUGGGAUAACAUUACGAGACUGCGGAGCAUAUACGAUAGAAUCUCCUGCACCGUAGGGGGCAAUGGAGAGAGACGGCGGUGGUGGAUGUUCUCGCGGCUUACCAGCUGCAUGGUGGGGUAGGGGCGUAACAGGGCUUUGACGGAUAGCCUGCCUGAGAGGGUGACCGGCCACAGUGGGACUGGGAGACGGCCCAGACGCCUACGGGCGGCAGUGGGGGGGAAUAUUGCACAAUGGGCGGAAGCCUGAUGCAGCAACGCCGCGUGCGGGAUGACGGCCUUCGGGGUGUAAACAGCUGUCGCCUGUGACGAAGCGUGAGUGACGGUACUGGGUAAAGAAGCACCGGCUAACUACGUG